rnacentral:rRNA from 1 species
UUUUUAAUUGAAAUCUUGUAUGAAUGAUUGGACAAAAGAAAUACUGUCUUUAUAUUUGAAUUUGAAUUUAACUUUUAAGUGAAAAGGCUUAAAUGUUCUAAAGGGACGAUAAGACCCUAUAAAACUUUACAUUGGUAUUAAAUUUUAUUUAAUUUAAUUAUAACAAUUAGGUUUAAUUAUUUGUUAUGUUGGGGAGAUAAGAGCUAUAAUUAAUAUUAACUGCUUGAAAAAAAAACAAUAAAUAAAUGGGAAAAAGUUAAUAGAUCCUUUUAUAAAGAUUAAAAGAUUAAGUUACUUUAGGGAUAACAGCAUUAUUUUUUUUGARAGUUCAUAUUGAAAAAAAARAUUGUGACCUCGAUGUUGAAUUAAAAUAUCUUUAUAAUGUAGAUGUUAUAAAAGAAGGUCUGUUCGACCUUUAAUUUUUUA